rnacentral:rRNA from 1 species
CCUACGGGGGGCUGCAGUGGGGAAUUUUGGACAAUGGGGGCAACCCUGAUCCAGCAAUGCCGCGUGAGUGAAGAAGGCCUUCGGGUUGUAAAGCUCUUUUGUCAGGGAAGAAACGGCUGUGGCUAAUAUCCACGGCUAAUGACGGUACCUGAAGAAUAAGCACCGGCUAACUACGUGCCAGCAGCCGCGGUAAUACGUAGGGUGCAAGCGUUAAUCGGAAUUACUGGGCGUAAAGCGUGCGCAGGCGGUUUUGUAAGACUGUCGUGAAAUCCCCG